rnacentral:rRNA from 1 species
CGUAGAUAUCGGGAGGAACCCCCAGUGGCGAAGGCGGCCUGCUGGGCUCUAACUGACACUGAGGCUCGAAAGCGUGGGUAGCAAACAGGAUUAGAUACCCCUGGUAGUCCACGCUGUAAACGAUGAUUACUAGGUGUGGGGGGACUGACCCCCUCCGUGCCGGAGUUAACACAAUAAGUAAUCCACCUGGGGAGUACGACCGCAAGGUUGAAACUCAAAGGAAUUGACGGGGGCCCGCACAAGCAGUGGAGUAUGUGGUUUAAUUCGAAGCAACGCGAAGAACCUUACCAGGUCUUGACAUCGUGUGCAUAACGUAGAGAUACGUGAAGUCCUUCGGGACACACAGACAGGUGGUGCAUGGUUGUCGUCAGCUCGUGUCGUGAGAUGUUGGGUUAAGUCCCGCAACGAGCGCAACCCUUACUGAUAGUUACUACGCAAGAGGACUCUAUCGGGACCGCCGUUGACAAAACGGAGGAAGGUGGGGAUGACGUCAAAUCAUCAUGCCCUUUAUGACCUGGGCUACACACGUACUACAAUGGCCGUUAACAAAGGGGACCGAAGGCGCGAGCCGGAGGGAAUCCGAUAAAAGCGGUCUCAGUUCGGAUCGCAGGCUGCAACCCGCCUGCGUGAAGUCGGAAUU